GGGGCGGCUGCUAUACUGCAGUCGAACGCUUCUUUUCUACCGGGUGCUUGUCCCACCAGAGAAGAAGAGUGGGGGACGGUUGAGUAACACGUGGGGAACCUGCCCAUAAGUGGGGGAUAACAGCCGGAAACGGCUGCUAAUACCGCAUAAUUCCAGUGAUCUCCUGAUCGUUGGUUGAAAGGUAGCUUCGGCUAUGGCUUAUGGAUGGACCCGCGGCGUAUUAGCUAGUUGGUGAGGCAAUGGCUCACCAAGGCAAUGAUACGUAGCCGACCUGAGAGGGUGAUCGGCCACACUGGGACUGAGACAUAGCCCAGACUCAUACGGGAGGCAGCAGUAGGGAAUCUUCCGCAAUGGACGAAAGUCUGACGGAGCAAUGCCGCGUGAGUGAAGAAGGUUUUCGGAUCGUAAAACUCUGUUGUUAGAGAAGAACAAGGAUGAGAGUAACUGCUCAUCCCCUGACGGUAUCUAACCAGAAAGCCACGGCUAACUACGUGCCAGCAGCCGCGGUAAUACGUAGGUGGCAAGCGUUGUCCGGAUUUAUUGGGCGUAAAGCGAGCGCAGGCGGUUCUUUAAGUCUGAUGUGAAAGCCCCCAGCUCAACUGGGGAAGGUCAUUGGAAACUGGGGAACUUGAGUGCAGAAGAGGAGAGUGGAAUUCCACGUGUAGCGGUAAAAAUGGCGUAGAA
rnacentral:rRNA from 1 species